CAAUCCUACGGGAGGCAGCAGUGGGGAAUAUUGCACAAUGGGGGGAACCCUGAUGCAGCGACGCCGCGUGAAGGAAGAAGUAUUUCGGUAUGUAAACUUCUAUCAGCAGGGAAGAAAAAGGACGGUACCUGACUAAGAAGCCCCGGCUAACUACGUGCCAGCAGCCGCGGUAAUACGUAGGUGGCAAGCGUUAUCCGGAUUUACUGGGUGUAAAGGGAGCGUAGACGGUAUGGCAAGUCUGAAGUGAAAGCCCCGGGCUCAACCUGGGAAUUGCUUUGGAAACUGUUAAACUAGAGUGCUGGAGG
rnacentral:rRNA from 1 species